CACAGCAAUGUGGGAUCCGAGCCGCGUCUGCAGCCUACACCACAGCUCAUGGCAAUGCCGGAUCGUUCACCCACUGAGCAAGGGCAGGGACCGAACCGCAACCUCAUGGUUCCUAGUCGGAUUCGUUAACCACUGCGCCACGACGGGAACUCCGAAGUCCUCCUUUUUAAAGUACUUACAGUUCUGAACUUGCAGGCUGUGGCAUCAGUUAGAGGCAUGGCCCACGUCAAGUUCAGUGCAUGUAGAUCAUUGUUCUGUUCGAGUCGCUCUAAGACAGAAGCGAGGGAGGUCAGAGUGGGUAUCUGGCCGCCUGGCAGGAGGUAGAUGGACACAGAGGGGCAUGGUGUGGAGGUGGGAUGGGACCAUGAAGCUGCUUCCUGGGGCCCCAGAGCUAGACGGGAGGCCACCCUCCCUGCGAAGUUGGAUGGGAGUGGGACAGGCCUGGGAGAUGGCUGAUGCUAGGAUGAAGGCUAACAAGCCCGGCCUCUAUCUUCCAGCCCGGGAAGUGGGGCCAGGCAAGGGUCAGAGAGCUCAGUUAGGAGGUUGGCAACACAGUUCAUGACCAGAGGCUCCAGCACUGGUCCACGUCGGCCAGAGGGAGGAGAGGGAAGGCGAAGAGGCCAGGUUUGGGCGGAAAUGAAGGAAGGAACCACAAUUAAGAACCUCUGGGAAUGCCGAUAGCCGCGGGACGUGUAGUUCUCCUGUUUGAUUUGUCCCCAGAACAGACACACACAAAAGCCCUGUGCUGCCAGAAGACAGAGCGUCCCAUCAAGAAAAUGCAGGGGGAAUGAAGAAAGGACAGGGAAACCCUCAGGAUGGUGUGUGUGUUCAGACCCCACAGCACCGAACUGCAGUGAGUCACAAAAACCCGGCACAAUGAAAUGAGGCCGCUGAGCUCACCUGAACAGAGCAGAACUGUCAUCCUUGGAAUGGCCAGGUCCGUCCUCACCUCUGUCUCCAGGGAGCACCCCAGGGACCGACGGGGACCUUCCAUCUCCAGCUCCCUCGGCCUCAGAUCUGCGCCUUCACCGAGGAUGCAGGUGGAGAAGGGAAAGCCGCCAGCUGGUAUUUUGGAAUUAACUAACCCGGAAGGAAAUGCCAUCUCUGCUGCAGCCUGCGAGGACUGGGGAGGUCUCCAGACGUCUUGA
rnacentral:lncRNA from 9 species